rnacentral:rRNA from 1 species
GACGAACGCUGUCGGCGUGCUUAACACAUGCAAGUCGAACGGAAAGGCCCUGCUUUUGUGGGGUGCUCGAGUGGCGAACGGGUGAGUAACACGUGAGUAACCUGCCCUUGACUUUGGGAUAACUUCAGGAAACUGGGGCUAAUACCGGAUAGGAGCUCCUGCUGCAUGGUGGGGGUUGGAAAGUUUCGGCGGUUGGGGAUGGACUCGCGGCUUAUCAGCUUGUUGGUGGGGUAGUGGCUUACCAAGGCUUUGACGGGUAGCCGGCCUGAGAGGGUGACCGGCCACAUUGGGACUGAGAUACGGCCCAGACUCCUACGGGAGGCAGCAGUGGGGAAUAUUGCACAAUGGGCGGAAGCCUGAUGCAGCAACGCCGCGUGCGGGAUGACGGCCUUCGGGUUGUAAACCGCUUCCGCCUGUGACGAAGCGUGAGUGACGGUAAUGGGUAAAGAAGCACCGGCUAACUACGUGCCAGCAGCCGCGGUGAUACGUAGGGUGCGAGCGUUGUCCGGAUUUAUUGGGCGUAAAGGGCUCGUAGGUGGUUGAUCGCGUCGGAAGUGUAAUCUUGGGGCUUAACCCUGAGCGUGCUUUCGAUACGGGUUGACUUGAGGAAGGUAGGGGAGAAUGGAAUUCCUGGUGGAGCGGUGGAAUGCGCAGAUAUCAGGAGGAACACCAGUGGCGAAGGCGGUUCUCUGGGCCUUUCCUGACGCUGAGGAGCGAAAGCGUGGGGAGCGAACAGGCUUAGAUACCCUGGUAGUCCACGCUGUAAACGGUGGGUACUAGGUGUGGGGUCCAUUCCACGGGUUCCGUGCCGUAGCUAACGCUUUAAGUACCCCGCCUGGGGAGUACGGCCGCAAGGCUAAAACUCAAAGGAAUUGACGGGGCCCCGCACAAGCGGCGGAGCAUGCGGAUUAAUUCGAUGCAACGCGUAGAACCUUACCUGGGUUUGACAUGGAUCGGGAGCGCUCAGAGAUGGGUGUGCCUCUUUUGGGGUCGGUUCACAGGUGGUGCAUGGCUGUCGUCAGCUCGUGUCGUGAGAUGUUGGGUUAAGUCCCGCAACGAGCGCAACCCUUGUUCACUGUUGCCAGCACGUUAUGGUGGGGACUCAGUGGAGACCGCCGGGGUCAACUCGGAGGAAGGUGGGGAUGACGUCAAGUCAUCAUGCCCCUUAUGUCCAGGGCUUCACGCAUGCUACAAUGGCUGGUACAGAGAGUGGCGAGCCUGUGAGGGUGAGCGAAUCUCGGAAAGCCGGUCUCAGUUCGGAUUGGGGUCUGCAACUCGACCUCAUGAAGUCGGAGUCGCUAGUAAUCGCAGAUCAGCAACGCUGCGGUGAAUACGUUCCCGGG